rnacentral:lncRNA from 1 species
CCCCACAAUGUGGUGUAUUUGAGAGACAGCUGGUGUCUUGUUGAGAGCUCUGAUUCUGCAGCAUCUACCACUUACACAAGCAUAAGGAGCAGUGGGCUCAGGAAACAAAGCGGCAAGUGGUUUCCCCUCCUUCCGUCCUGCAGAAUAAAGAAAAUGGACUGGUAGUUCAGGGAAACAGCAGUACUCUGUAUGUUUCCUACAGAACAUAUUUCCAGAGAGUCCUCUUAGAUUUCCAU